AGCAGCCGCGGUAAUUCCAGCUCCAAUAGCGUAUAUUAAAGUUGUUGCAGUUAAAAAGCUCGUAGUUGAAUUUCGGGAUUGACGUGAUGGUCAUGCCUUAAGGGGUAUGAACUGUCGCUGUUGAUUUCUCACCUUCUGGAGAAACUUGAUGUCCUUAAUUGGGUGUCUUGCGGAUCCAGGACCUUUACCUUGAAAAAUUAGGGUGUUUAAAGCAGGCAUUUUUGCUCGAAUACAUUAGCAUGGAAUAAUAGAAUAGGACGGCAUGGUUCUAUUUUGUUGGUUUCUAGGAUCACCGUAAUGAUUAAUAGGGAUAGUUGGGGGCAUUAGUAUUCAAUUGUCAGAGGUGAAAUUCUUGGAUUUAUUGAAGACUAACUACUGCGAAAGCAUUUGCCAAGGAUGUUUUCAUUAAUCAAGAACGAAAGUUAGGGGGUCGAAGACGAUCAGAUACCGUCGUAGUCUUAACCAUAAACUAUGCCGACUAGGAAUCAGACGAUGUUAAUUUUUAAUGACUCGUUUGGUA
rnacentral:misc_RNA from 1 species